CAUACCACCCUGAACAUGCCCAGUCUCUGUGAUCUGGGAAGCUAAGCAGGGUUGGGUCAGGUUAGUACUUUGACGGGAGAGAAGUACACAUUUAAAAAAAAA
rnacentral:rRNA from 1 species